UACGUAGGGGGCGAGCGUUGUCCGGAGUUACUGGGCGUAAAGGGCACGCAGGCGGUGCGGCGCGUUUCGCGUGACAGCGGAGGGCUUAACUCUCCGAGGAUGCGAAAGGCGGCGGCACUUGAGGGCCAGGGAGGGACACGGAAUUCCGCGUGUAGCAGUGAAAUGCGUAGAUAUGCGGAGGAACACCGAUGACGAAGGCAAUC
rnacentral:rRNA from 1 species